rnacentral:rRNA from 1 species
GAAUAUUGGACAAUGGGCGCAAGCCUGAUGCAGCGACGCCGCGUGAGGGAUGACGGCCUUCGGGUUGUAAACCUCUUUCAGCAGGGAAGAAGCGAAAGUGACGGUACCUGCAGAAGAAGCACCGGCUAACUACGUGCCAGCAGCCGCGGUAAUACGUAGGGUGCGAGCGUUGUCCGGAAUUAUUGGGCGUAAAGAGCUCGUAGGCGGUCUGUCGCGUCUGCUGUGAAAACUCGGGGCUUAACCCCGAGCCUGCAGUGGGUACGGGCAGACUAGAGUGUGGUAGGGGAGACUGGAAUUCCUGGUGUAGCGGUGGAAUGCGCAGAUAUCAGGAGGAACACCGAUGGCGAAGGCAGGUCUCUGGGCCACAACUGACGCUGAGGAGCGAAAGCGUGGGGAGCGAACAG